rnacentral:lncRNA from 1 species
CUUUGGAGGGACAUGCCAAGCUGUUCUAAUUGUACCCCAGAAAAUUAAUCAGGUAGCUGUUGGUUUGCAAGUCAUCAUACAAUUGAAUACAUUGUAGAGAUGGAAAUAGACUGAACUGGAAUUUUUAAUCUAGAAGCUAAGUACCAUCAUUAGUUUUCAUCAUUGGGAAAUCCUAUUUAUUUGCUGAUGAUAGCCUUAGAAAAUCAUCGCACC